CGAUUUCGGUCCCCGCCUUGAUGGCGCCGGUGUUCCCGAGCGGGGACUUGGGUCACCGCACCCACUCCCCACGAGUGCCCCGAUCACCCUUAUAAAAGUUAAUAAGUUGUUUUUGUAGUGUUUGGAUUAAGUUAUUUAAGAAUUAAGAAGAUUUUGUGUGUUAGAGAAGUUAUUUUUGAGAAGUUAUUGAGAAGGAAUCCAAACACCCCCUCAGUUCGAACUUCGAAGCCGUACAAGUUUCAUCGACGAUGAUCGUGUAGGGUUUAUAAGAACGCAAAGCAGACUGAGGAAUUGAUCUCAAAAUUCUGGUAUUUGCGAUUCGGUUUGUUGUUAUGGAAAGGGAGAAGCUUUCUGUUAGAGCUAUUGGAAUUUUGUUGUGGCAAGAGCAGGCCCUCGCUUUUUUUGCGCUUCUCGCCUAGGCGAGAGGCGAGCCCUAUGCGCCUAGAGUGCGCCUAGCGCAUUUGAUAACUAUGGGUAGAACUAAGAAGAAAGUUCUACGCUUUUCAUCCAUGGGUUUAUGAAGACUCACAAAUCACAAUGACCAAGUUACUUGGUUCCAUAGUAGUCAAAGGCGCACAAGACACCCUAGGUGCCAGCCCAGCGCAGCCAUACCGCCUUGCGGCCAUCAAGGCGCUCCGGUCAAAUUCUGCAAAUUCCGGUCUGACAGGUUUGAUCAGCUAAAACUGGCCCACGCCUUUUGCCUAGGCCCUAGGUGGAGCCUAAGCGCCUUGAGUACAUCUUGCGCGUUUGACCCGAACUUGUUUUGACAUGUUAUCCAGCCUGCCUAUUUGACCUCUACUACUCUACUAGUGACUCUAGUGUGGUUCCAUUCAGAUUCUUCCCAUCAAAACAAUAUAACAUUCACUCAUAAAUGAUUAUCAGCAGAUUGCAGAAGUGUCAAGAACAUAACCGUCCUAAACCAAAUGAAAAUUCCUCUACAGAUUGUGUGACAAAUGGACAUUAUUGGUCCCUUUAUUAAUCACCAAUGCCCUCACUAUGUCCAAUAUCCUUUUUAUAUAAUAUCGGUUCACUACGGCAGUUAGUGGCAACGGGUGGCAGUGGCGACAACUUGUAUCUUUCGCUAUAAUUAUUUUGUUUUAAAAAAAGCAAGUGUCAAGAUUUACUUAUGAUAUAUCCUGGACAAAAGGGUUUGUGGUAUUUAUUGAGAUCUUAAGAUCCUACUAUGUGGGUACUAAUGAAGUUUGCUUCUCUGUAAUUAUUAUUUGGUGAGAAUUAAUUAUGAUGCACAUGGGGUUUUCAUUGACAAUGGACUCUAACAUGUUCAUGUUGGCCCCUUUAUAACCAACCAAAUUGGGGAACACUGGUUUUGAAAGCAAAUAUUUUAUUCUCCCCUCUCUAGGCGGAUCUUUAGAGGUGCCAAAACGGACGGGUUAGGAACGGGAUUUUUGGAGGUGUCGAAACGAACGGGUCAAGGGUGUCAAAAUGCCAUUUUGGUUAGGGUUUGUUUUUUAUUGUUUGUAUAUUUAUCGAUGGUUCAUGACGGAGUACGAUAUACAGAUAUGGGUCCUUAGCAAUAUCUAUGUUGUAAUGUUAAAAUUGUGGUAUUUUCUUUCCUUUUUA